AUUGAACGCUGGCGGCAGGCCUAACACAUGCAAGUCGAAUGGUAACAGGAAACAGCUUGCUGUUUCGCUGACGAGUGGCGGACGGGUGAGUAAUGUCUGGGAAACUGCCUGAUGGAGGGGGAUAACUACUGGAAACGGUAGCUAAUACCGCAUAACGUCGCAAGACCAAAGAGGGGGACCUUCGGGCCUCCUGCCAUCAGAUGUGCCCAGAUGGGAUUAGCUAGUAGGUGGGGUAACGGCUCACCUAGGCGACGAUCCCUAGCUGGUCUGAGAGGAUGACCAGCCACACUGGAACUGAGACACGGUCCAGACUCCUACGGGAGGCAGCAGUGGGGAAUAUUGCACAAUGGGCGCAAGCCUGAUGCAGCCAUGCCGCGUGUAUGAAGAAGGCCUUCGGGUUGUAAAGUACUUUCAGCGGGGAGGAAGGGAGUAAAGUUAAUACCUUGGCUCAUUGACGUUACCCGCAGAAGAAGCACCGGCUAACUCCGUG
rnacentral:rRNA from 1 species